UGGCCGUUGCGGCGGCCUACAAUGCAAGUCGAGCGGAACGAGUUAUCUGAACCUUCGGGGAACGAUAACGGCGUCGAGCGGCGGACGGGUGAGUAAUGCCUAGGAAAUUGCCUUGAUGUGGGGGAUAACCAUUGGAAACGAUGGCUAAUACCGCAUAAUGCCUACGGGCCAAAGAGGGGGACCUUCGGGCCUCUCGCGUCAAGAUAUGCCUAGGUGGGAUUAGCUAGUUGGUGAGGUAAUGGCUCACCAAGGCGACGAUCCCUAGCUGGUCUGAGAGGAUGAUCAGCCACACUGGAACUGAGACACGGUCCAGACUCCUACGGGAGGCAGCAGUGGGGAAUAUUGCACAAUGGGCGAAAGCCUGAUGCAGCCAUGCCGCGUGUAUGAAGAAGGCCUUCGGGUUGUAAAGUACUUUCAGUUGUGAGGAAGGGGGUGUCGUUAAUAGCGGCAUCUCUUGACGUUAGCAACAGAAGAAGCACCGGCUAACUCCGUGCCAGCAGCCGCGGUAAUACGGAGGGUGCGAGCGUUAAUCGGAAUUACUGGGCGUAAAGCGCAUGCAGGUGGUUCAUUAAGUCAGAUGUGAAAGCCCGGGGCUCAACCUCGGAACUGCAUUUGAAACUGGUGAACUAGAGUACUGUAGAGGGGGGUAGAAUUUCAGGUGUAGCGGUGAAAUGCGUAGAGAUCUGAAGGAAUACCAGUGGCGAAGGCGGCCCCCUGGACAGAUACUGACACUCAGAUGCGAAAGCGUGGGGAGCCAACAGGAUUAGAUACCCUGGUAGUCCACGCCGUAAAACGAUGUCUACUUGGAGGUUGUGGCCUUGAGCCGUGACUUUCGGAGCUAACGCGUGAAAGUAGACCGCCCUGGGGAGUACGGGCCGCAGAACAAAACUCAAACAGAAUUGAGAGGAGCCCGCACAA
rnacentral:rRNA from 1 species